rnacentral:rRNA from 1 species
UUCUGUAGGUGAACCUGCGGAGGGAUCAUUACCGAGUUUACAACUCCCAAACCCAAUGUGAACGUUACCAAACUGUUGCCUCGGCGGGAUCUCUGCCCCGGGUGCGUCGCAGCCCCGGACCAAGGCGCCCGCCGGAGGACCAACCAAAACUCUUUUGUAUACCCCCUCGCGGGUUUUUAUAUCUGAGCCAUCUCGGCGCCUCUCGUAGGCGUUUCGAAAAUGAAUCAAAACUUUCAACAACGGAUCUCUUGGUUCUGGCAUCGAUGAAGAACGCAGCGAAAUGCGAUAAGUAAUGUGAAUUGCAGAAUUCAGUGAAUCAUCGAAUCUUUGAACGCACAUUGCGCCCGCCAGUAUUCUGGCGGGCAUGCCUGUCCGAGCGUCAUUUCAACCCUCGAACCCCUCCGGGGGGUCGGCGUUGGGGAUCGGCCCUUUACGGGGCCGGCCCCGAAAUACAGUGGCGGUCUCGCCGCAGCCUCUCCUGCGCAGUAGUUUGCACACUCGCAUCGGGAGCGCGGCGCGUCCAUUGCCGUAAAACACCCAACUUUCUGAAAUGUGACCU